GUUUGUUUUGUUUGUUUUGUUUUGUUUUCUUUAAAAAGGAUUUUCAGCCCCUUUCCGUUCCUGGAGGCUGUUCCCGCGCUGGGAGCGCGCCUUGAGCCUGCGUGCCCGGUGAGGGGAGGGCCGCGGCAGGCCGCAAACGGAGCUGCGCCUUAAUCGUGCAUCAGUGACUGGCUGCUUUAGUAGGCUAGCCUCUGUGUUUGUUGCAGUAGGGAGUCAGGGUGUGAGGAGAGAGCUGCCUGCGGCCGGGAGCUCUGCUUCGUGGUACCAAGGGGGUUGCCAGCCCCUGGUUGAGGCUGAAUUUGCAGCUAGCUACAGGCUACAGUCUCUCCCAAAAUGGCGUGGCUCCCGUUUCCGAACUGCUGUGGGGCAUUCGGGGGAUGCCUUGAUGUCAUGUCUGGUGCCCAGGAUGUAUUGCGCUUGCUCCUGUCAUGGGGCCGGCUGGGCAUCGCUACCACAUGGUAGCUCUCCCGCUGAGCUUGGGCUGUAUGCCAUCAGCUGUCGUUGUUAAAGAGCCUGACCUACUUAAGAUAUGCAUGUGUGCAAUAGGCCUGACGCUUUUGUUCACUUCUUCUGUGACAAGGAGUCCCAGGAAGGCUGAUCCCCACAGUUCAUCUGGCUUACUCUCUGCCCCAGCUCUGUGGAGCCUUUUGGGAAAGGCAUCUAAAACAGGCAGGCACCUCGGCCUUGAAUGCAAACAUGAAGGAGGGUUGGGAGCUUGAUGUGUCUACAGUCAAAGCUGAUAGGUUGUUUUAAUUAAUUUGAAGGGCUUUGAUUGUUCACAUAAUAGAUAACAAUCAGGAAAAACUUGGUCUCUUCAACAAUUACGUAUAAGCUUUAACAACUACCAGUAGAAGACAACACUUCAAACAGUAUGGAAAAAACUAAUUGGCAGUAUUAGGUUUAAAGUUUAAUUACAUUUCCAUUUUUAGUUUGUCAGUUAUUUUAAGUUGAUAAUUUGGGAGUGGGAAUUUCAGCAGGGUUUUGUGACCUAAUUUUGUUCUUGCUGAAGUUUGGUUUUGAUUUUACUUUUACAACAGUAUCUAUGAAUAUGGGAAAGAUGCAAUUAGUUCUGAGGGAUACCAGAGGAAAUUAAAUAAGUUGCUUCACGUCAUAUAAAGCCAUCUUACUGUGUUUACAGUUGCACUAAUAUCAGGGUGCCUAGUAUAUUUCUGUUAUGUAGCAGUGAUAAACUAAGUUGUAGUAGUUUAACUUCAUACCUCCAGAAAAUAAGCGUGCUGUUCCACAUCUACAUUUUCUUCUUAUAAAUUUGUCUGCUGUAAUGAAAGGACAUUAAGUGUAAGCAGAUGGGAAGAGGAUGUGCAGGUGCCACCUUUCCUUGCCAUAGACACUUGGAGGUGGCAUGCACUCAAAGUCUGUAGAAUUGGAAGAACCUCUUUUGUACUGGGAUUACAUUUGAAUCUGGGAGGGAAGGUGUGAUACAGUGGAAGGGCAAGAGGCUACGCAGCCCUUGGUGUCACUGAUUCAAGGUAAAUUUUUGUAUUGAUGCCUGUGUAGAUGAAAUACAAUUUAAACUAAACAUGAACAAGGAAACUUGCAGAAAUUUGAGCUUUUAACUUUCUCUGAAAGGCUUUCUAGGUCAGGAUGGGAUGCUCAGGGGAUGUACAAGGGACCCUGGUAUGUGAAUUUGCAAUUAUAGGCCAUUGGUCUGGGGGUUUUUGUUGUAUUUUUUUUAAACUCGCUUUGAAGCAGAUGCCUCUGUUUUAAGUAGGUAAAUUAGACCAGUGCAGUUUUGUUAAACCUGGGUUGCUUAUUUAAAAGCACUAGGGGGUGGGGGGGGAAAGCCAGAAGCAUUCACAUAGAGUGUGACUCCUAAUACAACUUCAUAAAUUUUAAAGCAAUUUUGAUGGACAAUGUGGCAGCCAAAGAAAGUGGGUCAGGAUGUUUAACAGUCUCAAAUCACACAAGGUUACCUUCAAAGAGCUAACCCAGUGCCCAUGAAGUUAAUGGAAGUUUUUCCAUUAACCUUCAUGGCCUAUGUUUCAGGAAAGCUGACAUUAAUUAUUUAUUUUCUGUAAAUGAGGGAAAUGAUAUAUUUUUCAUAUAACAUCCAUUUCUAGCUAGCGAGUGUAGGACAGGAUGUGUUGAACAGUGUAUGAAUUGCGUGAUUCCGCUUCAAGACUUUUAAUUUACAAUCCAGCAGGCAAAGAUAUUCAUACGCUGAACCUUCAAUUGCUUCUCUAGCAUACAUUUGCUUUAGUGAAUUAGCAUUUGAGUCAUUAGCUAGGGAUGAGCUCUUUGUAAUUAACUUUCUCUUCAUUUUCCUGGGUGUUAGUAGAUUGAUAAACAUCUUGUUUCUUUGCAAGCUUUAGAACUAGGUAGGUUUUCAAAAAGUGCCAGUAAAAAUAGAAGAUUUUGGGUUUGAUUGAUUUAACAUUUAGAAUUCUGUCAUCCUAAAUUGAGUGAACUGUUAUUGAAAUAUUACUUUUAAGUUCUGCAUCAGAUGUCAUUGCAGAACAUUGCCUAUUAGGACUCAAGGUACUCACUUAUACCAGUUAUAGGUGUCACUGUGUGUACCGCCUUACUAGGUUGCUUUCUGAACAACACUUAAAAUCUGCAUGUUUGUGUGUGUAGGUAUGUAUGUCUUGAUCUUUGGGGUAGAUAACUUCCUCCAUCUCGCAUAGCUAGUUGUCCCUGAAUCUUAAGUCAGAUAAAGAUGCAGGUAAGAAUUUAAAAAAAAAAUAUAAAACUGUA